rnacentral:lncRNA from 1 species
GUGACAAAAAAAUUUCUAGUGGCUGCUGUGGUCCCACCGAUGCAAUGCACCUCAUCUAAUAGUUAUUGGUAAUAUGCACACCGAUAUGGAGGCAACUCUUUGUCCAGAUACUUUUCUAAGUAUAUUGCAGUGACUUGAUCUCGAAGUCAUGUGGGCUCACCUAACAGUUAUUGCCCACACUCCUUAGUUAAGCCCAACCCUCCAUUCACAAGCAGGUGAAAGACCGUCAUUAGAUCCCUCACUUAAUAGUUAUUGGAUCCAACCCUAU